CACGGGGGGAGCAAGCGUUGUUCGGAAUCACUGGGCGUAAAGGGCGUGUAGGCGGUCCGGUAAGUGAGAUGUGGAAUCCCUCGGCUCACCCGAGGACCUGCAUCUCAAACUGCCUGACUCGAGUACGGGAGAGGAUGUGGGAAUUCCUGGUGUAGCGGUGAAAUGCGUAGAUAUCAGGAGGAACACCGGUGGCGAAAGCGCACAUCUGGCCCGAUACUGACGCUGAGGCGCGAAAGCUAGGGGAGCAAACGGG
rnacentral:rRNA from 1 species